rnacentral:rRNA from 1 species
UACGAGGGGGGCAAAUGUUGUUCGGAAUCACUGGGCGUAAAGGGAGCGUAGGCGGGUUUUUAAGUUGGAUGUUUAACCCUGGGGCCCAACCCCGGAUCGGCAUCCAAAACUGGAAAUCUUGAAUAGGGGAGAGGUCAGUGGAAUUGGAGGUGUAGCGGUGGAAUGCGUAGAGAUCUCCAAGAACACCAGUUGCGAAGGCGGCUGACUGGACCCAUAUUGACGCUGAGGCUCGAAAGCAUGGGGAGCAAACAGG